rnacentral:lncRNA from 1 species
AAUCAGUCCCUGAAAUGCAGUUUAAACUAUUUGAGCUCCCGCUCACUGAGGCCCCACACAGGGCCAGCACUGUGCUAAGUGCUCGCUUGUAUUGUCUCAUUGAUUGCUGGCAGCUCCCCGAGGAGCUAUUAUACAGAAGGAAGCAGAAGCACUGUGGGUGGUCAUGGCAGCAAGGAUUCACUCAGCCUCGCCAAGCCUGUGCCAUGGGGCCUCCGCUGCCCACCGCAGAUGAGGGUGAGAGCAGGUGGUCCCGCCACUGCUGCCCUGCCUAGGCUCUAGGAGGGAGGAAGGGAAGGAAGGGAGAGGGUCCCUUCCCCCUCCGCAUCUCCAAGCUGAGCUCUGGCCCGGAGGAGGCGAUGCGUGAAGACUCCGUCUAGGCUUCCUCAGGUGAGAUCACGCCCAGGGGUGGUGGGGCUGUGGGGCAGUACCCACCUCUGCCUCCUUCCCCCUCUGCGUCCUUUGCAUCACUGUGUCUCUCUCCCGACUCCUAGUCCGAUCACAGCCCACCUGCUCUCCAUGUCUCUGUGUCUGCUGAGCUGUCACCACCCUCUCCGCUGCUGCAGAGUGGCCCCUUCCUGUACCUCCAUCCUGAGGAAGGCACAGGUGGGAGCUCUGAGGAUGGGGGCUCAGCUUGGCAGGACGAGGCCCUGGGAUUUUGAGCUGGACAUCUCAUGCCAGGUGGCCCUGUCCCAGCCCUUACACUUCUGAGGAUUUUUGGGGUCUCCCUGGAGACAGGCAAGUUGGGUUGGCCCUCAGAUGGACUUCAGAGGUCUCUCUUCCCCAGUGGGAGAGGCCUCGGACCACUGUGUGUUCCUCUAGCUCAGGUCAUCCUCUGCUUGGCCCCAGCCUCCUGGCCCUGCACCGAACACACCCCAGCUCUCUCUGUCAUGCUGUGGCUCCCCAUAUCUGCAUCUCAGCCUGCCUAUUCUGAACUGUAUUCCACCCCAUCCUCCCGGCUCUGACAGACAACUGAAGCUGUUUGGUGAAGGACAUGAAUCUCAUAUACAACUUCCCUUGCUCCUUACAGGUGACCAGACAUUUGCUGAUGUUGUAGGCCCAUGUUCUCACUUGAUCUAAAAACACCAUUAGUGUCUUGGAUGUCAGGAAUCCCAAGUUUAGGCCUAAGUCCCCAGCCUCCUAUAUGACCAUAAAGAAGUGCCUUCCCAAUUUUCUUGGCCUUAGUGUGUCAGUGUAUAAGAUGAGGGGGUUGGAUUAGAUAAGGUCUAAGGCACCCAACAUCACUAGAGCUCCAUUAUCAUGGGCCCCAUCUGAUAAUUUAUGUUAAAAGGAUACACAUUUCUCACCUCCCACUCCCACUUCCCUGGGAGAGCAGUGUACAGAACACUCAGGCUAGACUUACCCCUAUGAAAAAGGCAUGGUGAGCACAGACCCACCCCUCACCCAGUCACACACCCAGAAGACAGAUGGCAG